ACAGAAAGGAGGAGGGUCUAGAAGUCUAGUAGAGCUGCUGUAGAUCACAGAGACCCACUCAUCAUCAACACAAGAUGGAACUGACACCAGUCUGCUGGAUACUCUUGAUGGUUUAUUCUGGACCAGUGGCAGGUGAUGUAUCUCUGAUCAUCACUCCAGACAGAUCUCAGUUCUUUGAAUAUGAGUCUGUCUCUCUGAGCUGUGAGGUUCAGGGGAACUCUGC